GCGUCCGUUUCUUGAGAACUCAACAGCGUGCACUAUGUUCAAUGCCAAUUUAUUUGAACCCUGUCCUGCCUCUUUUGGGGUGGGUGGGAUUCCUUUGAUUGAUGGACAAUUUGAUGUUUUUUGUCAGUUGUUUCUCUGUCAGUGAUGAAACUCCUCGGCUGGUCUUCGGGCUGGUUGGGAACCAUUUUUUUUGGAGAGUUUGAUCCUGGCUCAGGACGAACGCUGGCGGCGUGCUUAACACAUGCAAGUCGAACGAUGAAGGGGAGCUUGCUCCUUGGAUUAGUGGCGAACGGGUGAGUAACACGUGAGUAACCUGCCCUGGACUCUGGGAUAACCCCGAGAAAUCGGAGCUAAUACCGGAUAUGACUUCUCAUCGCAUGGUGGGGGGUGGAAAGUUUUUCGGUCUGGGAUGGACUCGCGGCCUAUCAGCUUGUUGGUGAGGUAAUGGCUCACCAAGGCGUCGACGGGUAGCCGGCCUGAGAGGGUGACCGGCCACACUGGGACUGAGACACGGCCCAGACUCCUACGGGAGGCAGCAGUGGGGAAUAUUGCACAAUGGGCGCAAGCCUGAUGCAGCAACGCCGCGUGCGGGAUGACGGCCUUCGGGUUGUAAACCGCUUUUAGUAAGGAAGAAGGGGAGCUUGCUCCUUGACGGUACUUGCAGAAAAAGGACCGGCUAACUACGUGCCAGCAGCCGCGGUAAUACGUAGGGUCCGAGCGUUGUCCGGAAUUAUUGGGCGUAAAGAGCUCGUAGGCGGUUUGUCGCGUCUGCUGUGAAAACUAGAGGCUCAACCUCUAGCCUGCAGUGGGUACGGGCAGACUUGAGUGGUGUAGGGGAGACUGGAAUUCCUGGUGUAGCGGUGGAAUGCGCAGAUAUCAGGAGGAACACCGAUGGCGAAGGCAGGUCUCUGGGCACUUACUGACGCUGAGGAGCGAAAGCGUGGGGAGCGAACAGGAUUAGAUACCCUGGUAGUCCACGCCGUAAACGUUGGGCGCUAGAUGUGGGGACCUUUCCACGGUUUCCGUGUCGUAGCUAACGCAUUAAGCGCCCCGCCUGGGGAGUACGGCCGCAAGGCUAAAACUCAAAGGAAUUGACGGGGGCCCGCACAAGCGGCGGAGCAUGCGGAUUAAUUCGAUGCAACGCGAAGAACCUUACCAAGGCUUGACAUGACCGAGAACGCUGCAGAAAUGUGGAACUCUUUGGACACUCGGUUACAGGUGGUGCAUGGUUGUCGUCAGCUCGUGUCGUGAGAUGUUGGGUUAAGUCCCGCAACGAGCGCAACCCUCGUCGCAUGUUGCCAGCACGUUAUGGUGGGGACUCAUGUGAGACUGCCGGGGUCAACUCGGAGGAAGGUGGGGAUGACGUCAAAUCAUCAUGCCCCUUAUGUCUUGGGCUUCACGCAUGCUACAAUGGCCGGUACAAAGGGCUGCGAUGUCGUAAGGCGGAGCGAAUCCCAAAAAGCCGGUCUCAGUUCGGAUUGAGGUCUGCAACUCGACCUCAUGAAGUCGGAGUCGCUAGUAAUCGCAGAUCAGCAACGCUGCGGUGAAUACGUUCCCGGGCCUUGUACACACCGCCCGUCAAGUCAUGAAAGUCGGUAACACCCGAAGCCGGUGGCCUAACCCUUGUGGAGGGAGCCGUCGAAGGUGGGAUCGGUGAUUAGGACUAAGUCGUAACAAGGUAGCCGUACCGGAAGGUGCGGCUGGAUCACCUCCUUUCU
rnacentral:rRNA from 1 species